GGUGGUUCUCAGGUGAUGCACCCCAGAACCAGAGAGGAGGGAGCCCGAUUCUGGGGUGCGUCACCGGAGAACCACC
rfam:Myotis lucifugus cont2.13098, whole genome shotgun sequence.